AGAGAGAGACAUGCGCGCAUAUCAAUAAGCGGAGGAAAAGAAACUAACUAGGAUUCCCUCAGUAACGGCGAGUGAAGCGGGAAGAGCUCAAAUUUGAAAUCUUCAAGGUUCUACCUUGACGAAUUGUAGUUUAAAGAAGUGUUUUCUGUUGAAGUUUUGGUAAAAGUUCUUUGGAAUAGGACAUCAUAGAGGGUGAGAAUCCCGUAUUUGACCAUUACUUUCCAGCUUUGUGAUACACUUUCAAAGAGUCGGAUUGUUUGGGAAUGCAGUCCAAAAUGGGUGGUAAAUUUCAUCUAAAGCUAAAUAUUGGCGAGAGACCGAUAGCGAACAAGUACCGUGAGGGAAAGAUGAAAAGAACUUUGAAAAGAGAGUUAAACAGUACGUGAAAUUGUCAAAAGGGAAGCGUUUGACACCAGUGUUGUUUUCUCGAAAAUCAAUUAAAAAAGGCAGGAUUUUGUGUUGUAUUGACUUUAUCAGCUUUCUGCACUCUUUUCUUGUCUUUUUUAAUGCACUUUUCGUUUAACAAGUCAACAUCAAUUUCUUUUGUUGUAAAAGGGUCAUUGGAAGGUGGCUUUCUUUUCGGAGAAAGUGUUUAUAGCCUUUGGCCUCUGCAAUCGGAGAGAUUGAGGUCUGCAGCGUAGAUCCUUCGGGGUUAGAUACAUUUGUGCUAAGUUAUAGCCUUUCAUAGACAACUUGUUGACUAUGAUCAGUCAUGUAGCUUACUCGCUUAUGCUAUUUUACCUACGCUUAGGAUGUUGAUGUGAUACUGCGAGC
rnacentral:rRNA from 1 species